AACCCAAACAAAUACAGUGUUUAUCCUCUGAAGUGUGACUUAUUUUGCCAGUCAUGUGAAAACAAAGAGUGUAUAAAAUGCUCAGCCACAACAGUGGGAUGAUCUGAUUUGGAUUUGGCUGCAGAAGGAAUUGAAUGCUAUACGCAGAUCGCACUUGAUUGCUCUAAUAUUUUGUCUCUUUGUGUGUUUAUACUUUGAAGUGAGAUGUAUUACAAGGAAAAUAAUGGCUUUUUUGGUUUUUGACUUUUUCACUGAAUUUAUCUUUCCGUGGCAUUGGUGGCUUCUACUUUGACAUGACUCUUCUGCGGAUUAUGAAUUUCUGCAAUUCAGAAGUCAAGAGUGACAUCAUCACAGCUGCAGGUGUGAGCUCGGGAGUUGGAGGCCGCUAAUGAGCCGCCAGAGAGAUCGUCUGAUCAUGUUGCCACAACAUUAUGUGAAUGUCAGUGCUCUUCAACGUGGAGACGCAAGAGGAGAAAUGCCUCCUUCGGGGUGAAUUGUGAAACUUUGACGGAAGCUGCGUGGUGGGUGAUCUCACAGUGAAGCUCCACAAGUAAGCAAUAAAGACACAUAACAUCCAUAUGGCGUCAUGUCUUCUCUGCGUCAAUUCCAGACCUUCCUUUUCCAAAGUUAAGCAACUGACAUUGAACACGUCACGUCAUCAUCACCCCUCCUUGACGAAGGAAAAAGCACUUCACAUGGAAAGCGUCAGCACCUGCAACUGUCAGCCUAACAGCUAAAGGCCAUCUGUUCUUUCUGCUGCCAGCGUCACUGCAUCGCACAUUCUGAGCCAAUCACACAGCUCGAGAAAAAAAAAAAAGAUGGACUGAUUAGCUUUGUUUUCUCAACUUUAGGCCUAACCCUGACAAGUAAAAUCAAACAUGCAGUCAGAUGGAACAAAGAAAGUCAUCCAUAUGAUCAGAGGUGACAAAAUAUACUGUAAAUUCAUUCAUACUGUAUCCCUUAAAAUGACUUUUCAAAUAUUUGAUAGUUGCAUGUCAAAUAUCAGAACAUUUAGAAUAAAUAAGUCAUUUGACAGAACGUAAAUAACUCUACGAGCACCACUUCAAAGCGCUGAGCAAUUGAACAAUACACAAACCUGAUGACAGGAUCGUCUCAAUUUUCAAAUCAUGCUAUCAA